UAUACAUGAAAGCAGAUGGCGGCACUAAUCAAUUCGGCUGCUAGUCAGAUGCCAAGUAAAAAAAUGGCGGACUGCGAGAAGGAGGAGGCGCACAAUCUCCAAAUGGAGUUUGAGUGGGUGCUUCGUGAGGAAGUGCACUCUUCGCUAUCGCAGCUUAAAAAUAUAUUAAUAGAGUGUGCUCAGCGAUUUCCAUUGACACUCUUCGGUAAUGAUCAACAUAAUAAAACUGACAGAUUUGUGUUUGCGGCUGCACACGAUCAAGUCAAGUGUGUUGCCGUUCUCACCGGCGACAGUAUUACAAAUGCGGAAGUAAAUUUUAAAGUACAGCGACAACAAAACAUAAAUAUGAGAACAAGUAUUCAAAACGAACAUCCAUGGAAGUUACAACAGAUACAAGAUGCUGCUAACCAUUUGCAACAAGCCAUUGCCCAUAUAGACAAUGUGGACAGGCAUUACCUUUUUAAGACUUCAGAUGAAGUCAUGCAUGUUCUAGGUAAUAUUUUGGGUUGUCUCCAAAGGAGCAGAACCAGUUUAAUUGUCCCUAGAAAGAAACCAAUGGACGAUCUUAUUAAGAGUCGAAAUAUGAAAUCUCUUAAUCCGAACCUCCCAGAGAAUCUGGCCAUUAGUUUUUAUAUUCAAAGCUACAAACUGGUCUUAGCAGUUUAUCAAUUAGAGAAUGCUCAUGGCAGUGUUAAAUAUGAAACACAACAGGCAGAAUGCAGCGUGCCAUGGCUAAAUGAUGCUCUUGUUCUGCUUACUAUCGCGCUACAACUUUGUCAACGACUAAAAGAUAAGAUAUGCGUUUUCUCCCAAUAUAAAGAUUUUACAGUAGGUUCUCGUGUUCCUUCAGUGCUGGGCUGAUAAUCUAAGGAAAUUUAUGCGUUUGAAAUGGAACUUGAUACAUACAGGAUGGUGCUAUGUGCAAGUGAAGAAUUUUGGCCUCAAUUGGUAACACUUGCCUUGGCCUUUGUUUCUACAUAUGUUAAUUGUUUCCUUCUCGUCGUAUGUCUCAUCGCAUACUCUCAUUACAUAACUAGAAUGUUAUUGUAGAGUUUAUAAUGGUAAUUACAGCGUGCGCCUAGUUAAAGCGAUAUAUAUCGUGUUCUGUAAUAUGUUAGUUAAACUCAAACGUCGGAUCAAACACACGGGCCAGAAAUGGAAGACUUAUAAGCAUUUUGCCAAUUACUGGGGUGCCUACCACCAUGUUGUAUUAUGUUCUCCCCUUUUCUGUGGCAAUUCUGAUGAACAUUCGAGCCUUUAACCUUAGAUCAAAUUUGGACUUGUUUCGUCUACGAGUUGAUAGAGUGGUAUUUAAUAAGUCUGCUGUGAUUUUAGAAAUCUACACUGUAAUCCUCUCCUUACUGGACUAGUACAUAUUUUUAUGUAUUAAUCGCUAUGAAUUUUAUCUUAUUGCGUUAUUUAUUAAUUGUAUAGUCAUUGUGUAUUAUAAUUCCUAACUAUAUUUUUAACUAUAUUUUAUUUAUUUCCGCAAAUACAUCUGGUCAUAUAAUUCUUCAAAAAUAUCUGUGAAUAUAAAAAUUCAGAUGCAAUAAUUCAAAUCGAUACCUUUCUCGUAACAAUAAAAUGUGCUAACUCGAAGUUAACUAUUAUGUGUAUAGUUCUAGAACACACAUACACACAUGCUAUC
rnacentral:misc_RNA from 1 species